ACGCUGGCGGCGUGCUUAAUACAUGCAAGUCAACUUGACUUUAGAUAGCAAUAUCGAAAAGUAGGGUGGCGCACGGGUGCGUAACGCGUAGGUAAUCUGCCCUGAGGUCUGACAUAACCCCGUCGAAAAGGCGGGGCUAACAUCCAGAUGAUAUAUAAUCACGACAUCGUGGAAAUAUCAAAUCUUCGGAGCCUUGGGAUGAGCCUGCGUCUGAUUAGGUAGUUGGCGGAGUAAUAGCCCACCAAGCCUACGAUCAGUAGCUGGUCUGAGAGGAUGAUCAGCCACACUGGAACUGAGACACGGUCCAGACUCCUACGGGAGGCAGCAGUAAGGAAUAUUGCUCAAUGGGGGAAACCCUGAAGCAGCAACGCCGCGUGAAGGAUGAAAUACUUUGUAUGUAAACUUCUGUAAGAUGGGAAAAUAUUCUCCUCGGGAGAAUUGAUUGUACCAUCAGAGUAAGCCCCGGCUAACUACGUG
rnacentral:rRNA from 1 species